GCGAACGGGUGAGUAACACGUGAGCAACCUGCCCCUGACUCUGGGAUAAGCGCUGGAAACGGCGUCUAAUACUGGAUACGAGCAACGGCCGCAUGGCCAGUUGUUGGAAAGAUUUUUUGGUUGGGGAUGGGCUCGCGGCCUAUCAGCUUGUUGGUGAGGUAAUGGCUCACCAAGGCGUCGACGGGUAGCCGGCCUGAGAGGGUGACCGGCCACACUGGGACUGAGACACGGCCCAGACUCCUACGGGAGGCAGCAGUGGGGAAUAUUGCACAAUGGGCGGAAGCCUGAUGCAGCAACGCCGCGUGAGGGAUGACGGCCUUCGGGUUGUAAACCUCUUUUAGCAGGGAAGAAGCGAAAGUGACGGUACCUGCAGAAAAAGCGCCGGCUAACUACGUGCCAGCAGCCGCGGUAAUACGUAGGGCGCAAGCGUUAUCCGGAAUUAUUGGGCGUAAAGAGCUCGUAGGCGGUUUGUCGCGUCUGCUGUGAAAUCCCGAGGCUCAACCUCGGGCCUGCAGUGGGUACGGGCAGACUAGAGUGCGGUAGGGGAGAUUGGAAUUCCUGGUGUAGCGGUGGAAUGCGCAGAUAUCAGGAGGAACACCGAUGGCGAAGGCAGAUCUCUGGGCCGUAACUGACG
rnacentral:rRNA from 1 species